UACGGAGGGUGCAAGCGUUAUCCGGAUUCACUGGGUUUAAAGGGUGCGUAGGCGGAUAGGUAAGUCCGUGGUGAAAUCCUGGAGCUUAACUGCAGAACUGCCAUGGAUACUAUUUAUCUUGAAUGUCGUGGAGGUUAGCAGAAUAUGUCAUGUAGCGGUGAAAUGCUUAGAUAUGACAUAGAACACCAAUGGCGAAGGCAGCUCGCUGCACAUAUAUUGACUCUGAUGCACGAAAGCUUGGGGAGCAAACAGG
rnacentral:rRNA from 1 species